rnacentral:rRNA from 1 species
GACGAACGCUGGCGGCGUGCUUAACACAUGCAAGUCGUACGGUAAGGCCCUUUCGGGGGUACACGAGUGGCGAACGGGUGAGUAACACGUGAGUAACCUGCCCACAACUUUGGGAUAACGCUAGGAAACUGGUGCUAAUACUGGAUAUGUGCUCCUGCUGCAUGGUGGGGGUUGGAAAGCUCCGGCGGUUGUGGAUGGACUCGCGGCCUAUCAGCUUGUUGGUGGGGUAGUGGCCUACCAAGGCGGCGACGGGUAGCCGGCCUGAGAGGGUGACCGGCCACAUUGGGACUGAGAUACGGCCCAGACUCCUACGGGAGGCAGCAGUGGGGAAUAUUGCUCAAUGGGCGCAAGCCUGAUGCAGCAACGCCGCGUGCGGGAUGACGGCCUUCGGGUUGUAAACCGCUUUCAGCAGGGACGAAGCUUUUUGUGACGGUACCUGCAGAAGAAGCACCGGCUAACUACGUG